CCGCCACGGAGGGUAUCCAAGAUUGAGUUUGAUCCUGGCUCAGGAUGAACGCUGGCGGCGUGCUUAACACAUGCAAGUCGAACGAUGAAGCCCAGCUUGCUGGGUGGAUUAGUGGCGAACGGGUGAGUAACACGUGAGUAACCUGCCCUUGACUCUAGGAUAAGCCCGGGAAACUGGGUCUAAUACUGGAUAGGAACGUCUACCGCAUGGUGGAUGUUGGAAAGAAUUUCGGUCAUGGAUGGACUCGCGGCCUAUCAGCUUGUUGGUGAGGUAAUGGCUCACCAAGGCGACGACGGGUAGCCGGCCUGAGAGGGUGACCGGCCACACUGGGACUGAGACACGGCCCAGACUCCUACGGGAGGCAGCAGUGGGGAAUAUUGCACAAUGGGCGAAAGCCUGAUGCAGCGACGCCGCGUGAGGGAUGACGGCCUUCGGGUUGUAAACCUCUUUCAGUAGGGAAGAAGCGAAAGUGACGGUACCUGCAGAAGAAGCACCGGCUAACUACGUGCCAGCAGCCGCGGUAAUACGUAGGGUGCGAGCGUUAUCCGGAAUUAUUGGGCGUAAAGAGCUCGUAGGCGGUUUGUCGCGUCUGUCGUGAAAGUCCGGGGGCUUAACCCCGGAUCUGCGGUGGGUACGGGCAGACUAGAGUGCAGUAGGGGAGACUGGAAUUCCUGGUGUAGCGGUGGAAUGCGCAGAUAUCAGGAGGAACACCGAUGGCGAAGGCAGGUCUCUGGGCUGUAACUGACGCUGAGGAGCGAAAGCAUGGGGAGCGAACAGGAUUAGAUACCCUGGUAGUCCAUGCCGUAAACGUUGGGCACUAGGUGUGGGGAACAUUCCACGUUUUCCGCGCCGCAGCUAACGCAUUAAGUGCCCCGCCUGGGGAGUACGGCCGCAAGGCUAAAACUCAAAGGAAUUGACGGGGGCCCGCACAAGCGGCGGAGCAUGCGGAUUAAUUCGAUGCAACGCGAAGAACCUUACCAAGGCUUGACAUGUUCUCGAUCGCCGUAGAGAUACGGUUUCCCCUUUGGGGCGGGUUCACAGGUGGUGCAUGGUUGUCGUCAGCUCGUGUCGUGAGAUGUUGGGUUAAGUCCCGCAACGAGCGCAACCCUCGUUCCAUGUUGCCAGCACUUCGGGUGGGGACUCAUGGGAGACUGCCGGGGUCAACUCGGAGGAAGGUGGGGACGACGUCAAAUCAUCAUGCCCCUUAUGUCUUGGGCUUCACGCAUGCUACAAUGGCCGGUACAAUGGGUUGCGAUACUGUGAGGUGGAGCUAAUCCCAAAAAGCCGGUCUCAGUUCGGAUUGGGGUCUGCAACUUGACCCCAUGAAGUCGGAGUCGCUAGUAAUCGCAGAUCAGCAACGCUGCGGUGAAUACGUUCCCGGGCCUUGUACACACCGCCCGUCAAGUCACGAAAGUCGGUAACACCCGAAGCCGGUGGCCUAACCCUUGUGGAGGGAGCCGUCGAAGGUGGGACCAGCGAUUGGGACUAAGUCGUAACAAGGUAGCCGUAAUCUUGGAUACUCGCGACCGCCAGCUGGGCGACCGU
rnacentral:rRNA from 1 species